rnacentral:rRNA from 1 species
UACAGAGGUCUCAAGCGUUGUUCGGAUUCAUUGGGCGUAAAGGGUGCGUAGGCGGCCAGUUGCGUCUGCUGUGAAAUCCCGGGGCUCAACCCCGGGCUUGCAGUGGAUACGGGCUGGCUGGAGGCAGGCAGGGGAGAACGGAAUUCCCGGUGUAGCGGUGAAAUGCGCAGAUAUCGGGAGGAACACCGGUGGCGAAGGCGGUUCUCUGGGCCUGUACUGACGCUGAGGAGCGAAAGCGUGGGGAGCGAACAGGAUUGAGAA